UUCACCUCAUGUAUUGUAGUGCAAUCUAUUGUGGAAGUGCAACAUACAAAUGGUUUUUUUGUUACAUAACUGCACUCAAAACAAUGCAAAACUUUAGAGCCUACAAGUCUGCUAAGUCCUACUUCUCAUUCAGACAGCUGCUAAGACAAACAAGUUUGUUUACAUUUAUGGGAGAUAAUGCCCACUUCUUAUUUACAAUGUCACCAGAAAGUAAGAACAGGUGUUCGCAUGACACUUUUGUAGCCAGCAUUGCAAGGUACUUACAUGCCAGAUACGCUAAACAUUCGUAUGCCCCUUAAUGCUUUGGCCACCAUUCCAGAGCACAUGCUUUCAUGCUGAAGACACUCGUUAAAAAAAUUAAUUAAAUUUCUGACUGAAGUCCUUGCAGGAGAAUUGUAUGUCUCUGGCUCUAUUUUACCCACAUUCUGCCAUAUAUUUCAUGUCUCAGAUGAUGACUCAGUACAUGUUAUUCAUUUUAAGAAUACUUUUGUUCCUGAUUUGACAAAAUGCAAAGAAGGUACCAAUGUGAGUUUUCUAAAGAUAACUAUAGCUCUUGACCCAAGAUUUAUGAAUCUGAAGUGCCUUCCGAAAUCUGAGAUGGAUAAGGUAUGGUGCAUGCUUUCAGAAGUCUUAAAAGAGCAACACUCUUGAUGUGGAAACUACAGAACCCGAACCAAAAAAGAAAACCAUGAUUGUUUAUGAAAAGUACCUUCAGUAAAGCUGGAUACAGAAUUACCGUGAUUGUUUAUGACUCAGAUGGUGAAAAUAAAGAUGCAUUGGUCUGCUCUGCUUUGGAUUGUUAUCAAGCAGAACGUGUCAGCAGCAUGAACACGUCCUCUGGAAUGGUUGUUGAAGUAUGAAGGAACAUAUUAAUCUUUAGCGCAUCUGCCAUCUGGUGACACUGGCUACAAAAGUGCCAUGCAAAUACCUGUUCUCACUUUCAGGUGAUGUUAACUAGAAGCAGGCAGCAUUAUCUCCUGCAAAUGUAAACAAACUUGUUUGAGUGAUUGGCUGAACAAGAAAUAGUACUGAAUGGACUUGUAGUCUCUAAAGCUUUAUAUUGUUUUAUUUUUGAAUGCAGGGGGGUUUUGUACAUAAUUCUACAUUUGUAAGUUCAACUUUCAUGAUGAGGUUGCACUAUUGUACUUAGGUGAAUUGAAAACUGCUAUUUUGUUUUUUACAGUGCAAAUAUUUGUAGUAAUAAAUAUAAAGCGAGCACUGUACACUUUGUAUUCUGUUAUAAUUGAAAUCAAUAUGUUUGAAAAUGUAGAAAACAUCCAAAAUAUUUAAAUAAAUGGCAAAAUAUUGUUUCAGUGUGAUUAAUUGCGAUUAUUUUUUUAAUUGCUUGACAACCUUAGUUUAAACCUUUUUAACAAUGAAUUAAUGUAAUUUUAAGUGGUAUAUUUGCCCCUGUGUCCCAUUAACAAUUCCUGUGGUUAUUGUAAAUGUAGCAUUUUAAAAGGUUAAAAUCAGGUUUGUUUGCAUUGUGCUGCUUAAUUAGUUAAAGUGCUCCAAGUCAGCUUGAACCUAGUCUUCCCUUAGUAUUCCAUUCAGUUACUGUCUGCAUCAGUAACUUUAGUGGAGCAAAGUCUGUUUUGUAAACUUUCCUGAGGCAUGUUUAUGUAUUGUAAUAUUGUACAAUCAUAUUUGAGCAGUGACAUUAUACGGAAGAGUCCUGACUCAAGCAGGUGCAUCAACAGAGAUUGUGUGUCUUAGGAGGGCCAGAAGAAGGUUCUAGCUUAAUAUUUUAUUUGAAAUCCUUACUUUUUUUUAAGGUAUAGCAACUUUAUUAUCUCAGGCAUUUGGUGUUGAGAGAGUGGUGUAGGAGUCAAACUACCUGAUGUAUUACCUUUUGAUGUUACUUGGGCUAGAAAAGUACAGGGGUUAAUUACUUCUAGUCAACUGUUACUGCUCAUUGUUACUAUAUAUUUAACAAAAUUGUAUAGUCUAAGUAAUAAAAGGAAAGACCAGGCCAUAUACACUAGCUAUACGUAGCGUAUGGUAAGAGAAAUGCAUCCAUAUGCUUUAGGUAGCACUCAAAUAAUGAACUGCAGUUUGCCAAUGUAUUACAUUCCCUGUUGUUUUUUACUAUAUGCUCUAUGAGCAGAAUAGGAUUUCACAUUCACACACUAUCCAGUUCAUGUUGUCCAAUUCUGAUUUGGUUCUAUUCUGUGUCUUUACUGUUUUUUAGGUUAAUUUUACCAUAACAGCUAGUUCUCAUUUUACUGGAGCUGUUAUAAAUAUUAACUGGGAUACAUGCUAGAGAAUACAGAAAGAGCCUGAAAUAUUUGUAGAAAUGCCUCUCCCUCCCUUGAUAAAAGCCUGUUAUACUUUCCCUUCCAGCAAAGGAGAGUUGGAGCAGGCUUUCAGUAGAACCAGUCACAGAUGCUCUGAGUGCAGAAGGGACUUUUUUCAAUGUAGUGUCUGUCUACUCAAAUGAUAAGCCAGGUGUAUAAUGUUCUUAGGCCUUCUGAGGACAACUGAUAUUUCUUGAUGGUCAGAGUUGCUAUAUUUCUGUAAAAAGUAAUGAGGGUAAAACUCCGAAGCCCAAGUAUGGCUCCUUAAACAACAUUUACACCCUUGACAGCGUACUAUAUAGCCUUUUUCAAUAUAAAAAGUAUGUAAACAGGUAUAUUUCUGCUAUGUCUACCUUAUCUUGUGGAAUGUUUCCUCUAGACCAGGGGUUCCCAAACUGUGAAAGAAAAAAUGGGUAUGUGGAAGAAAUUGUGUAAUGGUAGAUUUUAUUUAUUUUAUUGCAUUUUCUUAAUAGGCUUUAAAACUCUAGGAAUUUGUUUUGUAAAAUAUGGUAGUUUAUUUAAGAUGUGCCAGUGAGAAUACAAAUACACGGACACUGAUGUACCAAGCCCUCAACUCCAAUCACCAGCUCAGUUGCCCAGCAACUGUCCAAUCUAAUUGAGCUCAGAACUUAGGAGGAUUUUUUUGGUGGUAUAUGUUACACUAUAACUGUAUCUGUACAUAACAGUAAAAUAUGGAUGGGUGGCUAAAUACAGGUACUGUUAAGCACACAAAGUAUCAGUGAUGAGAAGGGUUGGAGUACGCAGCAGCUGGUAGAUUGGAAGGGGGUACAUAGUAAGAAAAGUUUGGGAACCUCUGCUCUAGACAAGCAGGAAAGUGAUUUAUCUAAUCCCUUUUAAUUGGUGGGCUAAUAUAAACGUUUAAUUUUGGUAACUUAAAUAUUAAUACAUUGCAAAUUCAACUGUGGUUGCAGACUCCAUGGGUAUGUGUAUAUAGCGGAAAAAAAAAUAAAGCCCAUGGCGGCGACUCAGAGCCCUUACCCCUCUCCCUGGCCUUCAGCCCCAGCUUGAAUGUUUACACAAGCUAUUUGUAGCACCCUAGCGUGAACCCAGGUUUGUAGGCUGGGGCUGUGAGACUUCCUGCUGAGCAGUUUUCGAGUUUUUCUGCUAUGUAGACAUGCCCAAUUGGGUCCCAGCUGCACUGCAAGACAAUGUCGCUUUACUAUAUCUGUGUCAGGCCAAAUGCAUAACUAGGUCCCCUUAGCAUGACUGGAUUUGGAAGGGACCAGAUACUCAAAUGGAUGCCAGCUGCAAAGCUCUUAUUUUUGUGUUCCCCUUCAUUGCAGGUUAGACACUGCUUGCAGUUCAUUCCUUGUACUUUGUCACUGCCUACACUGGAAGGAGGUUAGGAGUCUUCUCUGCCCUGUCGUCCUUCUUACUGAGUGCUAGAAUUGAGAUAGCUGGGAGAUUUGAACAUCUGCGCUCUGGCUACUCGGGCAUUCUUAGUGGAAGAUCCUUGAUAUUGGAAUUCCUUUCUCCAUUACAGUUGAGUCUUGUUGUAAAGCUCCUAUAUUCACACAGGGGAAUUGGACUGCAUACAGCAGGGGUGCGGAAACUACGGCCUGUGGACCGCUUCAGGCCUGUCAGACAUUUUUAUCCAGACCUCGAGCUCCCACUGGGGAGUGAAGUCGGGGGCUUGCCCCACUCCACCUGUCCGUCGCUCCUCAGCCCCCGACUCCCAUUUCCCUUGAUGAGCAGCAUCUUCUGGCACAUAGAUCCACGCUGCACAGGCACGACUUCAUCGUACUGUUUCCGGGAUCAGAACCCCCAUGCAGCAGCAUGCCCAAUGCCCUCCCGGUCUCCUACAGCCCCACCCCCGAGAGCCUCAAAACUGCCCAGGGGUCACACCCAUCCCAGCUAGGGUGCCUCUGCCCAUGGCAGUGCCUGGUACAGCCGCCUUGGUGUCACUGCCACAGGCCCCUAGAAGUCCCCUGUAGAGCCCCCCACCACCACACUCCAUGAGUUCCCCCCUUUCACCCACCUCGGUAACAUCUCUUAUAGAGCCCCCCCGUGCUACACCCCAUAGAGUCUCCCCCCCACCUCCACUGGGCAUUCAUAGCCUACUAUACAAUUUCCAUACCCAGAUGCAGCCCUCAGGCCAAAAAGUUUGCCCAUUCCUGGCAUAAAGGAUAUUAACCUAUUUGGGGAUGGAAAUCUGUUUACUAUGAUAUUAUCAUGUGUUUUUUAUUAAAAGUCUGUGUGCUUAGAGGUUGUCCAGUUAAUCAGUUUUGUACAUUGAAUAAUAAAAGUUCAGAAGUUCCCACAAUGA